rnacentral:rRNA from 1 species
GACGAACGCUGGCGGCGUGCCUAAUACAUGCAAGUAGAACGCUGAAACUUGGUGCUUGCACCGAGCGGAUGAGUUGCGAACGGGUGAGUAACGCGUAGGUAACCUGCCUGGUAGCGGGGGAUAACUAUUGGAAACGAUAGCUAAUACCGCAUAAGAGUAGAUGUUGCAUGACAUUUGCUUAAAAGGUGCAAUUGCACCACUACCAGAUGGACCUGCGUUGUAUUAGCUAGUUGGUGGGGUAACGGCUCACCAAGGCGACGAUACAUAGCCGACCUGAGAGGGUGAUCGGCCACACUGGGACUGAGACACGGCCCAGACUCCUACGGGAGGCAGCAGUAGGGAAUCUUCGGCAAUGGACGGAAGUCUGACCGAGCAACGCCGCGUGAGUGAAGAAGGUUUUCGGAUCGUAAAGCUCGGUUGUAAGAGAAGAACGAGUGUGAGAGUGGAAAGUUCACACUGUGACGGUAUCUUACCAGAAAGAGACGGCUAACUACGUG